UCAAGGUUCUUUUCAAGUAACUUGGCCUUCUUUAACCGCGCCAUUGCCUCGGCAGUGUUACCUGCCCGUUUCUGACUCAGUGCUUCCCGUUUGAGGGAGAGAAUCUCAUUCUGCAUCGCUUCCCUAUCGUCAAAGACUGGUUCCUGUCCAACAUCAGAAUCAUCUGCCCAGCCUAAUGACUUUAGAGUAGCAGCCAUUUCCGGGUCAACGAGAUCAUCGUCUGUAACUUCAACGUUAAUAUCAAAUCCCACACCAUCAUCGAGAUUACCAAAAUUGAAAUCGAGUCCUCCUGACUGCAUGUAACCAGAGAGCAUAUCUUCUUCUUUCCCACCAUCCAUGCCACGGAUUAAUGCAGCUAUCUCAUC
rnacentral:lncRNA from 1 species